AAAAUAAUGUCAUCGUAUUUACAAAUAUCAAGAAAUUAAAAAAAAAUAAAAAUUAAAAAGAGGAUUGCCAAACAAACAAUGCCUUCACGUGGUAAAAUCUAGAAAAUAAUGAAUUAUAACUAAUUAUAAUCAUUAUAAAUUAAGAUGAUUGUGACGUAAAAAUUAUUAAUAAAGGUAUAAUAACAGCGCAUAUUCAGGGCGAAAUAUUGGGAGCUUUCCAGCAAGAGACACAGACAACACAAAACCACAGUGCUGUUUAUUAUUUCUUCAAUCUUGGAAUCAGUUUGUCUUGAACUAGAAGAUCUUAGAGGCUUUGGAGGUUUUUUUAUGCUUUCCAUGAGCAACUCUCUGAGGAGGUGGUCGACUUCUAAUAAAUUCAAGAAUAAUUGCAUGUGUGUCCUUUCUUGACGGCGUGGGCGGGGUUUUUCUGAGAUGAUAU